UUUCCGUAGGUGAACCUGCGGAAGGAUCAUUCAUAAUAAGUGUUUUACUGCACUUUUUAAAAAUCAGUCUUCACCGUGUGUGCAAUGGUUGCUGACGAGUUCGCGCUGUUGCGCGUGCUUGGCAGUAGAAUACCAACCCUUUAUUGAAAUUUUUUGUCUGAAAUUUGUUGUCUACAUAAUUCGAAAUACAACUUUCAACAACGGAUCUCUUGGUUCUG
rnacentral:misc_RNA from 1 species